rnacentral:rRNA from 1 species
CAGUAGCCACGGUAAUGCGUAGGUGGCAAGCGUUGUCCGGAAUUAUUGGGCGUAAAGCGCGCGCAGGCGGAUAGGUCAGUCUGUCUUAAAAGUUCGGGGCUUAACCCCGUGAUGGGAUGGAAACUGCCAAUCUAGAGUAUCGGAGAGGAAGGUGGAAUUCCUAGUGUAGCGGUGAAAUGCGUAGAUAUUAGGAAGAACACCAGUGGCGAAGGCGACUUUCUGGACGAAAACUGACGCUGAGGCGCGAAAGCCAGGGGAGCGAACGGGAUUAGAGACCCGCGUAGUCCCUGUCUCUUAUACA